AUCCAGCCAAUUGAGAUUCGAGGAUUUCGCUGCUAAAUUGAACGGUUAUUAGUUACUGUUCCGGGUCCUCCCGCCACUGCUUCCAUACACCAAUGGCCUCACUAUUUGCUGCUCCUCCAAAAUCCCCUACUCUUCGCUUCUUCUCUUCUUCCUCUUUUUGCCAUAAGCACAAUUUGUUGCUCCAAGGAUGGAAAAUCAGGUCCUUCUCUAUGCAGAAACUCAUGCCGCAUUUUGCGGCUACUUCAUUGAAGUCAAAGAGGAGGAAAACUUUGAUCUGUGCAGUCAGUCAAGAUGCUGAAGAAUCAUUCAAAAAGACUGUAGAAGUAGAUAGGCUGAUAGAUAUGCUGAGGGAUGCAAAUCCACAAGAACUUCAGAAGCUUGUUGUUGAAAAUAUCCUCGCUUUCAAUGAGGGAUUUUGGAUACGGCUUGCUGCAAGAACUGAUACGUGCAAAUCAGAGGAUGAUAAAAAAGAUUAUGAGGAAUUGGCAAUAUCAGUGAUGAGCAUUGUGGACUGUCUUGUCCACAAGACUAAUGAAAAGAUUGAAUCAUCUACUGAUGUUCUCAAGGAAAUUUUGAAACCUGUUGUUCACGAGGAGGAAGAGAUUUCAUGGCCUCCUAGAGAUCCUGAUGCACUCAAGCUAAUGGAGAAAAAGAUAACCCAAAGGGAGCAAGAAGGGCAACUAGAUGAAGGGUUUCUUGCAGAAGUUAGUGCACAACUACGACAAGCAAAAGAAGAUAGGGAUAAGCCAGGGCUUCAGGCAAUGUUGCAAAAGGUUUUGCAGCUCUAUGCAUCCAGAGUUCUCUCCAAGCGUAGUUAUGCAAAGAAAGGAGAUGAAGUUUUGAAGGCUGAGCAGUUUCUUGAGACCAUAAUACAAGCUCCUGAGGAAGAGUGGAGCAAGCUUUUGAUUGAUGGCCUGACAGUUGGCAAGGGAGAAAUUUCUCCUGAUGAAUUACGUGCAGUCAUUAAGAAAAGAAUUGAACGGAUGUUGAUCAGAACAGAGGGAGGUUCUUACCAGCAGCGUAUUCUUAAUGAGUAUCUCAAGGGCAUCGAAUCAAGAGCAGAGGAUAUUGUCCAAGUGCUUCAGGGCAAGCCAUAAGAUUGAUAGAAUCAAACCGAUUCCAUAGGUACUGUACAAAAUCUGAGGGAAGUUUCUCACUGAAUCAGAGAAGAAAGAAAACAAAAGCAUUCAAGAGGUAGGAAGCUAUAGAUUAUGUGCAGCAUUACUUGUAUUUCAAAAUGUCCGGUCACUAUUUUCCACAUCCUCAAGAUGCAAAGACAGUUCCUGCCUUUGUUUUAUAAUGAAUUGUUCCUUGUUUAUCCCAAGCCUGUGAACACCCGGAUGCUUGCGUCCUAUGGUUAGAUCAAAUCAUUAUUAUAUUCUGUUGUUGGGUCACCAAGUUUGGAUGCCCGUUUGGUCUCACCACUGGUACAAGGAGAGGCGCAGCGUUGUUUCCGGCCGUUCCCUAGAAAACGGUGACCGGAGCUGCCACAAGUGGUGCUCAUCUGCCAAUCCAAGUUUCGACCUCAGUUUCAUGCAACGGCACGUGUGGCAUCCGUUUGUCCUUCGAUUUCUUCUCCGACGAUCAACCGGCCAUUUCUGUCAUGUCUCCAAUGGAACUCGAGCCAUUCGACGUUGAUUGGAAAGUGUUCUUCAGUGGCAGCCUAUUGUUCACUGGGUUAAGUGUUACUGUCGAACAAGUUUUGCCUCCUUUUUUGCUGCGAACAAGUUUUGUUGUCUUCUUUUAAUUUGUUUGAAGGUGUAGAAGUAUAAAGUUUUGGUUGAAAUGGCUUCUGACAGUAAGAUCCAUAUUACUAAAA